CGAAGCAAUGAUAAAUCUUCUAGAAAGUUAACCUCAUAGUCAUACGGCAUUGUCUUAUCCGCACCCGCAAAAACACCAUCUUCUUCUUCAAUUCUCGCAAAAAUGGCUUCCGCCAACGCUAUCUCUUCCGCUUCCAUCCUUCCUUCUCCUUCUAAAGCCUGGAGAUUGAAGAACGGUAGAGCAAGCCAAUUGCGGCAGGGGCCGAAGCAGAAACACCGGUUUGUGGUGAGAGCUAAUGCUAAGGAUAUUGCUUUCGACCAGAAAUCCAGGUCUUCCAUGCAGGCCGGCAUUGAUAAACUCGCCGACGCCGUCGGCCUCACCCUCGGCCCCAGAGGGCGGAAUGUUGUUUUAGAUGAAUUUGGUAGCGUAAAAGUUGUGAAUGAUGGGGUGACUAUCGCGAGGGCCAUAGAGUUGCCUGAUCCCAUGGAAAAUGCAGGUGCUGCAUUGAUCAGAGAGGUUGCUAGCAAGACGAAUGAUUCUGCUGGAGAUGGCACCACCACAGCCUCGAUUCUCGCUCGAGAGAUCAUCAAACUCGGUCUUCUCAGUGUCACCUCCGGUGCCAACCCGGUGUUGCUGAAGAGGGGCAUUGAUAAAGCUGUGCAGGGUUUGAUUGGUGAGCUUGAGAAUCGAGCUAGGCCUAUCAAGGGCAGGGAUGACAUCAAAGCUGUUGCUGCAAUUUCUUCUGGCAACGACGAGAGCAUAGGGACCAUGAUCGCCGAUGCAGUUGACAAGGUUGGACCUGAUGGUGUCUUGUCCAUCGAGUCAUCUUCCUCCUUCGAGACCACAGUGGAUGUCGAAGAAGGAAUGUUUGAGUUCAGAGGAUACAUCUCCCCCCAAUUUGUCACCAACCCUGAGAAGCUGCUGGUGGAGUUUGAGAAUGCGAAAGUGCUGAUUACGGACCAGAAGAUCUCCUCGAUCAAGGACAUCAUCCCUCUGCUGGAGAAGACACCGCAGUUGAGAGCACCUUUGCUCAUCAUUGCAGAAGAUGUCACAGGGGAGGCUCUGGCCACCCUCGUCGUGAACAAGCUCCGUGGCAUCGUGAACGUGGCAGCAAUCAAGGCGCCUGGUUUUGGAGAGAGAAGGAAAGCCCUUCUUCAGGAUAUUGCCAUUAUGAGUGGAGCUGAGUAUCAAGCGACUGAUUUGGGGCUAUUUGUGGAGAAGACUGAUGUGGAUCAGUUGGGAACUGCAAGAAAGAUCACAAUCAGCAAAGAUUCAACGACAGUGAUCGCGGAUGCUGCAUCGAAGGAUGAGCUGCAGGCGAGGAUCGCUCAGCUCAAGAAGGAGUUGAGCGAGACUGAUUCUGUGUACGACACAGAGAAACUAGCUGAGAGAAUGGCUAAGCUGUCGGGCGGUGUUGCUGUAAUAAAAGUGGGAGCAUCAACUGAAACGGAGCUUGAGGAUCGGAAACUGCGGAUAGAGGAUGCCAAGAACGCAACUUUCGCAGCCAUUGAGGAAGGGAUUGUCCCUGGCGGUGGAGCUGCAUUGGUCCAUCUAUCGGGGCACGUCCCCACCAUCAAGGACACGCUUGAGGAUGCAGACAAGCGCCUUGGUGCUGACAUCAUCCAGAAGGCGCUGAUAGCACCAGCAUCGCUGAUAGCGCAGAAUGCGGGGGUCGAGGGAGAGGUGAUCGUGGAGAAGGUGAGGUCCACGGAGUGGGAGUUCGGGUACAAUGCGAUGACAGAUACCUUCGAGAACUUGCUGGAAGCCGGAGUGAUCGACCCAGCUAAGAUGGCGAGGUGCGCAUUGCAGAACGCAGCCUCUGUUGCCUGGAUGGUGCUCACCACGCAAGCCAUUGUGGUAGACAAACCCAAGCCGAGGGCAUUCCCUGCACCAGCUGGUUCUGCUUCUGACGCCCCUGUCGGCAGUUAUUCAGUGUAGAAUAGUGAGAUUUCACAUAAAACUGCAUCGUUCUAGUUUAGAGAGAGAGAAUCCAAGAAUUGUUGUUAUUGCCCGACAUAGAAACAAUUUUGCCAUUCAUUUAGAGCUUAUGAUCGAGGGCCCUGCCCUAAAUCUUCCACUCUUCAGUCAUGUAUUUGUAAUUUUGUUUGUGUUCGAUUCAAGAAUUUGAAACUCACUAGGUGUAAACGAAUAAUUGGAGUGUAUUCAAACACUGAUACGGAUCAGCCAAAGAGUAUUCGAGGUUAUAAGGUGGGAAAACGCUCUGGAGAAGUUCGUGUCCCCUCUUGUCGGGGUGUCAGCUCAAGAUGCCAAAGCAUAGCACAACAGGGAGACGGAAGGGGGUGGGAGAGCAGCUUUAUGACCCCAUUGAAGAACACAAUUACUGCUCUUAAUGAGGAGUACAGGAAUCAGUGUGCUGCUAAUUCUUUGAGAAUGUUUCAGCUUAUUCAGAGGAAAGGUUGGAACUUUUGAACGAUGAUGGUUCUGCGGCAAAGGCUUGGCCCGUUGACAUGACCUAUGAUGGUGGCAAGAACAUUUGGGGCCAUCCACUAUGAAAUGGAAUCGGUACACCUAUGUAUGGACCAUUGCAGACAGGUAAAGCAGAAUCUGUGGUCCCUUUGGGAUUAGUGUGGUACAAGUCAUGCCAGCAGUGUCGAUGACUGGGGCUAGUCGAUGCGUAUCAUCCUGUUGUCGCUCACCAAGGGGCCCUGCGAUGAAGGUGCUUGUAACACUAUCUUGCCAUGGAGGAUUCCCAGGUGAUGGUUACAUGUCUGAUCAUGAGCUUAAUUAAUGCUAACUUUUAACAUACAGGAAAGGCCUUCAUGGAGACAUGAGACAUGAACCUCUCUGUUGGAUUCUCUACUGUGCCCCCAUGUUUGUGGAGCUGGCUCAGAUAUGAAUAAUUGAUGACAUGAAGUGGAAUUUCCCUUUUCUAUAAUGAUAGUACAAAGCCAAUUGUGCUUUUACAUUAUUUUGAGGAAAAAAAAGGAAACAAUGGCAUGUAAAGUGAGUAAAUAUAGAUUCAAUGAACUUGCAUAUUUUCUUUCACAGUUGGGAGUUAGACACCCAAUGAUCCAUUUAGAAAAGAUAUAUUGAACCUCUGAGUUAUAUGGUACAUGGUAUAAUAAAGUGCUGAUCUGAUCCAGAUCCGAUCCAUUCGUAAGACAGAAUGUGGAUGCGGGAUGCCAACGCCUUAACUUGGACGUUGGCAUUGGACCACACCUUUUCUUAACCUCUGCGAGCGACACAGUGCAGUGGUAAAUCAAAAGCUUGGUGAGUAAAAUGAGUGUAGUGUUAGUGUGCAGUUAUUACCAGAAGGGACCAACUUCGUAUUUUCCAUUAAUAGGUUUCAGAAGGCUAGUUGGCACUAAUAAUUUCACAUAUCUUGUGGGGUUAAUAUCUUGUACUACUACCUUUCUUCGACCUCAACUUUAACUACUGUAAAUACUAACUAGGUCACGUUCAUUUGGUUGUAAUUUGUAAAUGGUGAUCAACAAGAUAUUAUCAUCUUUGAAAGGGGCAAGUUUUCUUAUUUCACUCAAAAUUUCUCCCAAAUACUACUACUAUAAGUGGAUCUCAUUAUCCUCGCAUAUAUUGUUUAAUUUCAUACUUUUUAUUUCAUUUCAAAUUAAUAUUUGAGUUCAAAAUAGUAGUUUGCUGCAUUACAUAGAAGUUUUUUUUUUUUAAAUAACUUGAAAAAAAUAAGAAACUAGGAGUACUAGUAAUAUUAUUAAUGAAAGCUAAAGGUGUUAUGUUAUCAAGUCUCGUUGAUCUCGUGGCUAGCUAUGUGAAGACAAGUUCUGAGACAUCACCAUCAUGGACCAUUCAGCUGCUUAAGCAAAUUCCAAAGAAUCUCUUCACUUUUUGUUCUUAAAACACACAUACAUAUAUACGUCUCUCUCUCUUUCUGUACAUGUGUGUGUGAACUUCAAAUCUAAAUGACAAAAACUAUACUGCAUUACUAUCCCACAUAAAGCAAAAAACAGUGACAGAAACUACCGGAGCGGUAGUAAGUUGUUUGACAUCUAAAAUCUUGGGAAAAGAAAAGUUAAUUACUAUACAUAUCAAGACGUAAUUAACAUAUAUAGAGAUGUAUAUAUAUAUUGGAGGGAAUCGUCUACGAAUCGAAUUGAUUAGGACGAGACGAUGCAGUGAUGAAGAAAUUGAGUAAGUGAUGAUGUACUAUAUGAUUAGACGAGGAUGAAUGACCCAAAUUUUGCAUACCUUUUUCCAACCCUAAUAAACCCAUAAUUUUAUGAAAUCACUCAGAAUUUUAUCAUCAUAUUGUCAUCGUGAUCAAAAUUCUAUUUAGAAGAGGAUUUGUUUGCUCAUACUACUACUUGUUAUCGAUAACUCACGAUGUCAAAUCAUAGCAUUAUUAAAAGUUUAAAACUAAUUAAGUAAAUUAACAAGACCAACUAGUUAGGCCUAAUUUGUUUCCCAAUUGCUAUUUUCAAACAAACAUUUGAAACUAGAAAAAAGAUGAAUCCUAGCAGUAGUAUAAAAUAAUGAAAGCAUAUAUGUUUACAAAUUUUCAAAUUAACACUGAAACAAGACAAGCAAACAAGGAAAUUAGUCUUUAAAUUAGUUGUUAAUUAAUUAGGAAAACCCCUUUUUUUUGUUAUAAAAAAAACAAGAUAAAAUAUCUCAGAUCUAUUACACCUGCAAACUGAAUUAUACUUCCAUCAGUAGUCACUUGUGUCGGAUUCUGACAGAAACAAUAGUAAUAAUGAAUAAAAAUAAGGAAUUAAAGCAGAGAAAAUAUAAAAAAAGAAGCAAAAGUAGCAAGGUUGAUGAACAAAGGGUUUUCUGCGCCUUUUGCCGGCAAAAGUCAUUUAUUGCCGAUGCAGCAUCAUCAAGAUUCUCAUGGAGUAGAGAGAGAAAGAGAUCACUAAUAACCCUUUGUCUUGUGAAUCUUGAUGAUGCUGCACCAGAAAACAACGACUCAUUUGUAUGCAUCCACAGAUCCACGCUCCUACAAAUAGAGUAAAAGUAUAUACUGUGUCUGUGAAGAGAAAGAGAGAGAGAGUGAAGAAACUCAAAUUCAUUAGUAAUCGAAAGAGAGAGAGAGAGAGAGAGAG